CGUAACGGGAAACAACGUGCGACUGGGGACCUCGAAGGACCUCUCCGCUGGUCACGAGACACGCUUGAGACGUUUCGGCGACGACGAUAAUACGUGCCAGGGUGUCGCCGACGAGUGCUCAGAUUACUACCGCUGCAUACGUUUACGUCCCGACGUAUGCCACCUCAUCGGGUAUAAGGAUCAUCGAACAAUUUCGAAGGAAUCAUCACAAAGACGAUUCAAGAGAGCGUUCAAAAGACAACACAUGACGUCCGUCGUAAGGCCUGCGAACAUGCGGUACAUCGUAUAGAAAGUGAUACAAGAUCAGUGAUAGAGACCCGUGACAUUUUGCGAGGACCAACGCGAACCGAUAGGGAGAAAAAAGGACACGAUUCCGCGCGAGCGAAUGAGAACUGUCAUCUAGUGAGAACAGUGCAUUGUGAGACGCAACCCCUUUAGUGCGCGCUCCUCUCGCGAACUCGUGGCACGCACGUUUCGGACGCAUGUGCAUCGACACGCGGUCGGUGCGCCCGGUUUGACGGUGCAACCCGGAACGACGCGACACCGUCAGUGGUGAGCGGACAUUCAUGCACCGCCACGGGCUACCGGCCGCUGGCGUCCAAGUGAUAACGAUUCAUGCACGCAUCUAAAGAAACGUGGCACCGAACGUAUUCGCUCUGACGGAGAGACAACCAGUGGAGUCUCUCGCGGAAGCGCGAAGGGGUGGUGAGCGAGGGGGCGACGAAGGUUUCUGCAAAGAGUGGCAACGCGAAGGAGGAAGCCUGUUGCCCCAAGAGAAUCCUUACGGCCUCACCACGCGGUCCGACGAGUGGAGCAGUCUCCUGCCCAGCUCCACUAUCGUGGGUGCUGGGGGGUCGGCAUGGCUCGGACUCGGCGCCGGGGGUGGUACGGGGGCCACCACGGGAGGCGGAAGUCCCGUCGAGCUCGAGGGUCACUGGGGACGUAAGCUGUACGGCGCGAGUGUGGCCCCGCCGCCCCCGCCGCCUCAUCAUCAUCCCCGGGCGCCGUUGGUUUUCGCGCCUCAAGAUAUGAGGCAGAUAUUGAAGGAGGAACCUGUACCACGUGCUUGGCCGCAGCCCGCGCUCGCCGACAACGGAACGGUUGGCGUGGGCCGGGCGCAUUUCGAAAAACAACCGCCGAGUAAUCUGAGGAAAAGCAAUUUUUUCCAUUUCGUAAUCGCUCUUUACGAUCGACAUGGCCAACCGAUCGAGAUCGAGAGGACGUCGUUCAUGGGUUUCGUCGAGAAAGAUCAGGAGUCUGAAGGUCCAAAAACGAACAACGGCAUCCAGUACAGUCUACAUCUACUCUACUCCAAUGGUGUCAGGCAGGUGCAGGAUAUUUACGUCAGGCUUAUAGACUCCGCGACUAAACAAGCAAUCAUGUACGAGGGACAGGAUAAGAAUCCGGAAAUGUGCCGUGUUCUUUUGACGCAUGAAGUUAUGUGCAGUCGAUGCUGCGAUAAGAAAAGCUGCGGCAACAGGAACGAAACGCCCAGCGAUCCUGUCAUCAUCGACCGAUUCUUCCUCAAGUUCUUUCUCAAGUGUAACCAAAACUGCCUCAAGAACGCUGGCAAUCCACGCGACAUGAGACGUUUUCAGGUGGUCAUUUCUACACAAGUGGGAGUAGAGGGUCCAUUACUAGCGGUCUCCGACAACAUGUUUGUUCACAAUAACAGCAAGCAUGGACGCAGAGCGAAGCGUUUGGAUCCCAGUGAUCCUGGCGAAUAUAAUAGUUUAUAUCCGCCAAUACCUCUUCAAACGCCGUGCAUAAAAGCGAUAUCGCCUAACGAAGGGUGGACGUCGGGUGGGUCUACCGUCAUAAUCAUCGGCGAAAACUUCUUCGAUGGAUUGCAAGUAGUUUUCGGGUCGAUGCUAGUCUGGAGCGAGUUUAUCACCGCACAUGCGAUCAAAGUGCAGGCCCCGGCACGGCAGAUACCCGGCGUCGUUGACGUCACGUUACAUUACAAAAGCAAGCAAUUUUGUAAAGGGGCACCCGGUAGAUUCGUUUAUGUUUCCAUGUUUGCCGAUUUCUUUCCAGCGGUAAACGAACCUACGAUCGACUACGGCUUCCAAAGGUUACAGAAACUCGUUCCGCGGCAUCCGGGUGACCCCGAGAAACUUCCCAAGGAGAUAGUACUAAAACGGGCGGCGGAUCUAGCAGAAGCCAUUUAUAGUAUGCCCAAGGGCGGAAAUAUGGGGAUCACGGGGGCACCCAGAAGUCCCGGUUCGGUACAUGCUCCCGCGCCUCCUACAUCCAGUUCAGCAACGGUCUUCAACUCGUAUACAGGGCAGCUCGCGGUGACGGUGCAGGAGAACGGUAGCGCGGCGAAAUGGACAGACGACGGUAGUUCCGUGACGACAGGAGCUGCUGCCGAUGGAGGAGGUGGUGGCGGCGGCGGCGCCGGCAGCGGUGGCAGCGUCGGAGCCAAUGUCGGUAGUAGUACCGACGCCUACAGACAAAGCAGCAGUGCCAGUCCACGUGGUGUCGUAACUGGCGGUGGUUAUUGCGGUAGUUCAGCCAGCACACCACACAGUCACAGUACCAAUGGAAGUUAUUCUGUCGCCAAUCCGUACACCGGCAGCCCGACUCUCUACCCAUCGCCGCACGAACAAUACAGCCUAUUCUAUACCGGGGACGGGAGUGCGUUCGCCCCCGUAGUACGACCACCGACCACCUCAGUCCCACCGCACUGGUCCACACCGCACCACCUCGCCACAGCCGCCCAGUAACCGCUAACCGUCCACCAUCACCACCAACACCACCAUCAUCACAACCAUCACCUUAUGCACUGCGAUUAAAGAAUUUUGAGAGACGACAUUUGAGAAUUGGGUAUGUUGCAGGACUAGGAGAAGUGGUUGGAUCACCUUUCAACAUGAACCCGUUUAUGUUGCCCACAUGCAACCAGGGAUAUUCAACCGCUGCCAGUCCAUUGCUUUCGUCAAACGGCAAAUAGUGUUACGAGAUGUAAGCUCCGACGAAAAUGUCAUGAACACCAAUCUUCGCGGAGACAUUGCAUACGAGCUAAUGAAUUAAUACGUGCCAUCGCGUCUAGAUAAUUAUUCAGAUAAUUGUAAACUAUCUGCGUAAUUUUUUCGUAUUGACGCUCGUACAUUGCCUUCGCGAAUUGUAAUCAUAUACUUAUGUGCGACUUUAUUCUCUUUUAUACUUUUUUUGUGAUAAAAAGAGAAGGAUAGUCGCAUAUGCGUUUCCAUCAUCAUUUUCGUCGGAGUUGAGAUCAACGAGUUCGUAAGAAAUUGUGAAAAUCAGUGCAAAAAUCUGUAACAACUAUCUUGCAUCGAUCACUAAUGAUCGCACUAAUUAAGAAACAAUACAUAUCGAACAACGAGAAGGUGUCUUUUUAAACAUAAUAGCUCGAUCAUACGAUGGCUCCAAUAAUUCUUAAAAAAGAAUAUUU